UAAUGUAUGCACCCAUUAAGAAGACAUUCAUAACAAAGAUAAAGCAAUACAUACAUGGGAAUCGGUUCAGAAUAACUAAAGUACUUCCCUUACUUUGUCAUUCCUCAAGGGUUUCAACAAUCCUACCUAUGGGUUUUAGCCGCUCAUGCCUGUGAAGAAAUCAAUAACAUUCAUAUUCAAAAGUAUAGAUGAAAUCACAAUGAAAAGAAGUAAUAAAAGCCAC
rnacentral:lncRNA from 1 species